AAACCAGCACCGCAAGUGGUCAGGAUGAUUAUUGGGCCUAAAGCAUCCGUAGCCGGCUCUGUAAGUUUUCGGUUAAAUCUGUACGCUUAACGUACAGGCUGCCGGAAAUACUGCAGAGCUAGGGAGUGGGAGAGGUAGACGGUACUCGGGAGGAAGUGGUAAAAUGCUUUGAUCUCUCGAUGACCACCUGUGGCGAAGGCGGUCUACCAGAACACGUCCGACGGUGAGGGAUGAAAGCUGGGGGAGCAAACCGGAUUAGAAACCCCGGUAGUCC
rnacentral:rRNA from 1 species